rnacentral:rRNA from 1 species
GAUGAACGCUGGCGGCGUGCCUAAUACAUGCAAGUCGAGCGAACAGACGAGGAGCUUGCUCCUCUGACGUUAGCGGCGGACGGGUGAGUAACACGUGGAUAACCUACCUAUAAGACUGGGAUAACUUCGGGAAACCGGAGCUAAUACCGGAUAAUAUAUUGAACCGCAUGGUUCAAUAGUGAAAGACGGUUUUGCUGUCACUUAUAGAUGGAUCCGCGCCGCAUUAGCUAGUUGGUAAGGUAACGGCUUACCAAGGCAACGAUGCGUAGCCGACCUGAGAGGGUGAGCGGGCACACUGGAGGUGAGACACGGUCCAGACUGCUGCGGGAGGCAGCAGUAGGGAAUGUUCGGCAAUGGGCGAAAGCCUGACGGAGCGACGCCGCGUGAGUGAUGAAGGUCUUCGGAUCGUAAAACUCUGUUAUUAGGGAAGAACAAAUGUGUAAGUAACUAUGCACGUCUUGACGGUACCUAAUCAGAAAGCCACGGCUAACUACGUG